rnacentral:misc_RNA from 1 species
GCAAACUUGGUCAUUUAGAGGAAGUAAAAGUCGUAACAAGGUUUCCGUAGGUGAACCUGCGGAAGGAUCAUUAGAGGUCUCGAAAGAGGAUAUUCUGUGAAUGAACGAGUUGAUUGCGGGGAAUCACCGCGGUGAAUCACCGCAGUGUUAAUACUAUACAGUUCUAUACAAUACCAUAUACAUAAUAUCAUAACAUAAAAUACAAACUUUCAGCAACGGAUCUCUUGGCUCUCGCAUCGAUGAAGAACGCAGC